GAAUUGUUAGAAUUAUCACAAAUCCAUCACCACCUUUCAGAGAAGAUUAGCAUGGCACCUGCGCAAGGAUGACACGCAAAUUCGUGAAGCAUUCCAUGUUUUU
ensembl:snRNA U6 U6 spliceosomal RNA